GCUAUGGAGACAGCACAAGCUUUAUUUCAACAUGUUUUUCGAAUUUAUGGCAUACCAGAGGAUAUUGUUUCUGACAGAGGCCCACAAUUCACGUCCCGAGUAUGGCAAGCCUUCUGCAAACAAUUAGACAUUAAUGUCAGUUUAACAUCAGGUUAUCACCCUCAAGCAAAUGGACAGGUGGAGAGAGUAAACCAAGAAAUUGGGCGAUAUCUUAGAUCCUACUGUAGUCAAGAACAGGAACGUUGGAAUGAAUUCCUACCCUGGGCAGAAUAUGCAAGAAACUCCCUUACUCACUCAUCUACAGGACUCACCCCCUUCAAGUGUGUUUUAGGAUAUCAACCCCCCAUGUUCCCUUGGUCGGGUGAACCUUCAGAAGUUCCGGCAGUGGAUGACUGGGUCAGAAGAAGCGAAAGAGUCUGGGACAGCGCUCAUGUGAGGCUACAGAGGGCAAUCAGAGCCCAGAAAACCCAAGCAGAUCGUAGGAGAAGUCCCCACCCAAACUAUCAGCCGGGUCAGAGGGUAUGGUUAUCGACUCGAGAUCUACAGUUACGGCUACCCUGCAAAAAGCUCAGUCCACGGUAUGUAGGCCCAUUUCGGAUAAUAAAGCAAAUUAAUCCAGUAACAUACAGGAUAGAGCUCCCAGCUCAUUAUCGCAUUUCUCCUUCAUUUCAUGUAUCUCUGUUAAAACCCGCUCAUCCUGCUUCCGGUCCUGCCUCCGAGGAGAGGGAGCCCCCCCCACCACUGGAUGUUGAUGGAGCUCCGGCUUACCUGGUCAAGGAUAUCAUAGAUUCCAGACGUUGGGGGGGGGCAGACUACAAUACCUAGUGGACUGGGAGGGCUACGGCCCAGAAGAAAGAUCUUGGGUGGCCGCCAAGGACAUAUUAGACCCAUCAUUGACCCGGGAUUUCCAUCAUGCACAUCCGGAUCGUCCAGCACCUCGACCAAGGGGACGUCCACGAAGAACACCUGGAGGUGUUCCUAGGGGGGAGGAAUCUGUAACAUCAACCAUCCAUUCAUCCAGCCACCAGAGGGCGCCAUCUCCUCAUUACUGACUGUGCUCUUCUUCUUCCUCCACUUCCUGUAGCUUCCUGUUUAAAUCCAGCUCAGUUGUACAACAGAUUGCGAAGUAUUGCCAGCUAACCCCUGUCUCUACCAAGCGUUUUCUCAUUGCCACAUUGAUUGCCUCGUGUAUGUUCUUUGCCUGUUCUUGACCUUGUUUGUUGGAUUACGAUUUGGAUUUGUUUGCUGUACGGACUGCUUGCUGUGAUAUUGACCUUGCUUGUUAUUUGACCACGAUUAUCUGCCUUAUCCUUGUGUGUGGUUUUCUCCACAAUAAACAUCUCCGCAAAUGGAUUCAAAUACUCAACCGAGUCAGUCAUCCUUACAAUUAUAAUGUUGUGACAGAAUUGUUGGGCAUUCCAGCAAAACUAGGGAGCGCUCCAACUCUUCCGGUCACCAAUCACACCAUGGAAGUGAUGGAAGGCACUCCACUUCUACUUCUAGACAUGGGCAUUCCAGCAAAACUAGGGAGCGCUCCAACUCUUCCGGUCACCGAUCACACCAUGGAAGUUAUAGAAGGCACUUCACUUCUACUUCUAGACAUGGUUUGGAUUCAGAGGUGUUUGUGUCCCGGAUCGGGAGGUUGGAUGCAGAUUCGUAAGUGACUGAAGAAGGUUGAAGGGAUCACUCAGGUAAGUACAUACAGGUAGGUCGUCAGGUAAGUGUCCAGAAACGUGCAACAAUAUCAGGCAAUUGAUUACUCAGAGCAGGUCAAAAAGGAUGUGGUCUUUGGCAGUGACAGGUGCAGGCGAUUAAAACUUAGGAGGCUGGGAACAAGUGGGCGGAGUGUGGGGGUCUGGUGCUGAGGAUGUUGCUGAUUCCACAGGCAGCUCCUGAUGAUCAAGGUGGAUGACGACAGGGAUAGCCUCUGCCUCCUGGUGCUAGUAUUAAUUUCCUCCAGCCAAUGUAGCCAUUCCUCUAAAGCCAGUUCAUAGUCACUGAUGUAGUCACGUUCAUCAGUGACAGCUUCUUUGAGUAAAAGGCACAAAGAUGGCGUUUGUGAGGCUCACCCUGCUGCUGAGAUAGUAUGGUUACCUACCCCAGAGGUGGAUGCAUCGACCUCGACGAUGAAGAGGAGUCAGAAUACACUAGGGUAGGAGCGGUACAGAAUCUAUCUUGAGUUGGUUGAAGGUGCUGGUAUCGUUGGAGUUCCAUGUCAGAGGCCCCAUGUUUCAACAAGGAUAUUAGAGGUGAGCAGAUCUUACUGAAGUUGUCCUGUAGAAGUUUGCAAACCCCAAGAAGCAUUGCAGUUCCUUGAUGGAUGUGGGCUGUGGCCAAUUCUAAACUCGGAUCGUAUAAUUAAUUUAACUCUUAGUUUUGCAUUAAUUUUGAUUCAUUUUUAACACCAGAUUCAGUGACAUAAGAGCUGAUCUGCGCAUUACUGCACAUGUCUUCGAUGCAUUACGGCUCUGACACAGCCACUGGAGCAGAUCACGUGUUGUGUUUAAGCCAGCCAUGCUGCGACUUGUAUCAGAAGUGUCCCAGAAGCAGCUCUCCGUGCUGAUUUGCUAAUAGUCUUUUUGUGAGUUGGCACCGCGUGGAGGACGGAACAAAAUCUCAUCAGAGCCGUAAGGGGUAACAGUAACAUAAUAUGCUGAUCGUGGGCUGCUUUUAAAUUAACAUUUAUUUAUAAAACAAAAAAUAUUUUUUUGCCAGCUUACUCAGCUUUUUUCACAUGUUAUACAUAAAUAUUAAUACGUAAUAUUUACAAACACAAAACAUUUUUUUAAAUAUUUUUACUGAUGCUAAAAUGUACCCUUUAGACAUUUUUCAACAUUUAAAAUGUACAAAUCGCUAUGUAUAUUUAGAUAAAAAAAAUUACAAAUAUUUACAUAUCUUUUGUAUAAUUAAGAUGUUCGUAUCAAUGCAUUUUUAGCAUUUAAUCAAUAAUUUCGAUUUUAGACCUCUUAACCUAACGUUACCCCCCCCCAAACCUAAACCUACCCAUUUUACAGCGAAUAUGCAUUUUAUCAUUUUAUUUAUAAGCAAUUUAGAUUUUUACUAUUUUAGUAACAAUAUAGCAUUGAAAUAUUUUUAUAGUCGCUAAUCCCAUUCCUCUAAACCUCAACAUAACUAUUUCUGUACAGUAUAAGCAAAACAUGACUGACAGAUAAAUGCAAUUACUAUCAUUUAUUUGUUGCAAAAAUGUCAAAAGCAGUACCAAAAGUAAUCCAAAUGACCAUACAUUGCAGCCGCAGUCACCUCUAGUGGAAUUCAAUAUGUUUGUGUAAGGUGCAGACUAGAAUUGGUUGUUAAUCCCUGAAAAUAUUAAGAUAUUAUAUACAUUUUGAACAUAUUUUGUUGGUGUUUCAGGGCAUUCCAGCAAAACAAGGGAGCGGUCCAACCCUUCCAGUCACCAGUCAAGCCAUGGAAGUGAUAGGAGGCACUCCACUUCACAUUUUCAAUCAACCUUGGAUUCAUCUCCUGAGUGUUAUUCUUCAAGAUCUGAAACACCAAGGGCUCCAACUGGUGACAGCAUGGAUGUAUUUCCAAUGCCUGUGUCCAAAUUUCAGAAAUGUGUCCUUAAAAAGCUGGUGGAGAUCAUGCAGGAAGUCAAGAGAAUUGGAAGUGCAGAACCUAGUAAUUCAACAUACCACAUUAGACGAAUGGAGAAGAUAGAAAAUAAUAAUUGGAGGAGAAGCUUCAAAAUAAUGAAGAGAGACAUGUUCUGAUUACCCAUUUAAGUAAAGUAGGAGGAAAAAAUGUCAGAGACUGCUCAACAAAGAUUUUGGACAGACUGAUGACCAACAAUCUAAUGUCACAGCUCAACAUGAUGGGCCAUGGCUCAAAAAAAAAAUAUUUCAGUCAACAGCGCUGUACACCUCUGUGAUAGAAGCAGUCAAAAAGUGGGACAGCAAGGCCACCUAUCACGUCAUUUACAGUGCCGUGGGAAACC